AUGAACCACAUGCUCAAGAAAGGGUUUGUCAAGGGGACCCAGAACCUACACAAGUUUGCUAGGCGGGUAAAUGCUUGCAUACAAACUCGGAUGCAGAAGGAGAACGAGCAAACAAUGACUAGCAUGACCAAUCCUGUGACAAAAACAACUUACGGCUAUGAGGAAGACAUGUCUAUCAAGUACACGAGAGCCGUGUACACCGAGAUGAGGACUAGGAUGAGAAAAGCCAUGCUAUUUCGCACAAAGCGUACAGUAGAUCCCACUAAGUACCUUGUGUACUACCACAACAAGCCUGGACAUGAUGAUGAAGAAAGAUUUUCCUGGUCAAAGCAUGAAUUCCAAGUUGUAGCUGACCCAGAGAAUGAAAUAUACGAGUGUGAAUGCAAGCUUUGGACACACACAGGCCUGUUCUGCCUUCACAUCAUGAACAUACUGGACUACCUGAAGCCUGACAAAUUUGCACAAAAGUAUAUCCUCAAACGGUACACAAAGACUGCAAAAUCACAACCAACCUUUGAUACAAGGGACUACAACACAACUGCAUCGGAUGGCAACUCAAGACUAUCGAAGCAAGACAUGUUGCUGCGGCUAAAUUUGAUGGUUAACAAGAAAGCGAUGAGAUGUGACCAACAAUAUGAUAACGCCUACUAUGUUCUAAAGAGGCUCGUGGAAGAGCGUGAUGCAAUACAUUCAGCAAUCAAGCGGAUGCUGACGAAAUGA
rnacentral:rRNA from 1 species